rnacentral:rRNA from 1 species
UACAGAGGUCUCAAGCGUUGUUCGGAUUCACUGGGCGUAAAGGGUGCGUAGGUGGCGCGCUAAGUCAGGUGUGAAAUUUCGGAGCUUAACUCCGAAACUGCAUUUGAUACUGGCGUGCUUGAGGACUGGAGAGGAGACUGGAAUUCAUGGUGUAGCAGUGAAAUGCGUAGAGAUCAUGAGGAAGACCAGUGGCGAAGGCGGGUCUCUGGACAGUUCCUGACACUGAGGCACGAAGGCCAGGGGAGCAAACGGG